rnacentral:rRNA from 1 species
CUGGGCGUAAAGCGCACGCAGGCGGUUGGAUAAGUUAGAUGUGAAAGCCCCGGGCUCAACCUGGGAAUUGCAUUUAAAACUGUCCAGCUAGAGUCUUGUAGAGGGGGGUAGAAUUCCAGGUGUAGCGGUGAAAUGCGUAGAGAUCUGGAGGAAUACCGGUGGCGAAGGCGGCCCCCUGGACAAAGACUGACGCUCAGGUGCGAAAGCGUGGGGAGCAAACAGGAUUAGAUACCCUGGUAGUCCACGCCGUAAACGAUGUCGAUUUGGAGGCUGUGUCCUUGAGACGUGGCUUCCGGAGCUAACGCGUUAAAUCGACCGCCUGGGGAGUACGGCCGCAAGGUUAAAACUCAAAUGAAUUGACGGGGGCCCGCACAAGCGGUAAUCGAA